rnacentral:rRNA from 1 species
ACGUAGGGGGCGAGCGUUGUCCGGAAUGACUGGGCGUAAAGGGCGCGUAGGCGGCUGACUAAGUCUGGAGUGAAAGUCCUGUUUUCAAGAUGGGAAUUGCUUUGGAGACUGGUUGGCUUGAGUGUGGUUAAGGUAGGUGGAAUUCCCAGUGUAGCGGUGAAAUGCUUAGAGAUUGGGAGGAACACCAGUGGCGAAGGCAACUUACUGGGCCGUAACUGACGUUGAUGCGCGAAAGCGUGGGGAUCGAACAG